GAUCCGGGACAUUAAUUUUCUAGUUUCCAAGGGAAAGCAAGAGGCUGGGAAUGACGGGCAUGAAUUGGAUCUGACUGUGUCGCGUCUCAACCUCGUGGUGGCCCGGGUUCAUGGGCCCCUCAUUACUCCCUCACCCCUUGGUGUUCUGCCCUUCCCAAGUUCCGUAGCAACUUGAAACCACAGCCUUUUUAUGGAAAAAUAAACUUCUCAGUAAAGGGCAGAGAAGAUGGCUUAGAGAACUCAUCAGAAACUUCCCACCACUCUCGGGACCGAUUCUAAGCUCCAGUGUGACUAGAGUCUGGGAAACCAGGCAGGAUAUGGAGAACACAAAGGGAAAAGGUGAGAAAAUUGAUGCAUGAGUUAAUGAACUUGCCAAAGAUCACACUCAAUAAAAAAGCUGGAAUUCUGUCUUCGGAUCCCCUGCUCUUAACGACUAUACUAUAAAUCUUUCAAAUAAAUGGAUGACAUUCUGGGAUCAUGAAAAA